rnacentral:rRNA from 1 species
GAACUUAAGCAUAUCAAUAAGCGGAGGAAAAGAAACCAACUGGGAUUGCCUCAGUAACGGCGAGUGAAGCGGCAUCAGCUCAGAUUUGAAAUCUGGUUCUUUCAGAGCCCGAGUUGUAAUCUGUAGAGGAGUCUUCGGGUUUGGAUCUGGCCUAAGUUUCUUGGAACAGAACGUCAUAGAGGGUGAGAGUCCCGUAUGAGGCCAGCUACCUAUUCCUAUGUGAAGCUUCUUCGACGAGUCGAGUUGUUUGGGAAUGCAGCUCAAAAUGGGUGGUAAAUUUCAUCUAAAGCUAAAUAUUGGCGGGAGACCGAUAGCGCACAAGUAGAGUGAUCGAAAGAUGAAAAGCACUUUGAAAAGAGAGUUAAAAAGUACGUGAAAUUGUUGAAAGGGAAACGCUUGCGAUUAGACUUGCGCUCAGGUGAUCAACCGGUGUUCUCACCGGUGCACUCUCCUGCUUGCAGGCCAGCAUCGGUUUGGGCGGUUGGAUAAAGGCCCUAGGAAUGUAGCUGCCCUCGGGCAGUGUUAUAGCCUAGGGUGUAAUGCAGCCAGCCUGGACCGAGGACCGCGCUUCGGCUAGGAUGCUGGCAUAAUGGUCGUAAGCGACCCGUCUUGAAACACGGACCAAGGAGUCUAACAUCUAUGCGAGUGUUUGGGUGGAAAACCCAAGCGCGUAAUGAAAGUGAACGUAGGUGAGAACCCCUAAGGGUGCAUCAUCGACCGAUCUUGAUGUCUUCGGAUGGAUUUGAGUAAGAGCAUAGCUGUUGGGACCCGAAA